CGCCGAGUUAAGAGAUCACCCAAGAAUCACCCAAAGGACGGACUCGAAGGUGGUUCGAAGAAAACCCAUUAUUUUGCACAGAGGAUUUAGUGUGUUCUGCGACGUUUUUUAAGCCCCAGUGAAAUGGGCAGGUAGAAGGAAUCAAUAGCGACAGAGAAAUGGCCACCGAAGGAGACCAAAAAUUCGUUACUGGGGUGAGCAGAAACCGUCGCUAUUGUUAGUAUCCCAAACCCCUUUUGUCACUAGUUUUUGUAUCUACUUCCAUGAACGAGGAGAACAAGAUCUUGUGUCCAAGGUCGAAAUCUCAGACACCCGUCACAGCCUUAGAUGUGUGUGUGUAUGUUACAUUAUUUCCUCUUGAGAAACUACAACUACACGAUAGAGAAAAAGCAAAAAAAGCUUAGUUGAAGUAUCAAAAUAUAAUUGUUUC